GACAGAGGUGGCAAGCGUUGUUCGGAUUCAUUGGGUGUAAAGGGUCCGUAGGUGGUCAAGCAAGUCUGAUGUGAAAUCCCAUGGCUCAACCGUGGAACUGCAUUGGAAACUGCAUGACUUGAGUAUCGCAGAGGUGAAGGGAAUUCCCGGUGUAAGGGUGAAAUCUGUAGAUAUCGGGAGGAACACCAGUGGCGAAGGCGCUUCACUGGGCGAUUACUGGCACUGAGGGACGAAAGCCAGGGGAGCAAACGGG
rnacentral:rRNA from 1 species